AUAAACUCAACUAUACUCUAACCACGAUAUAACCAAAACAUUUGCCAAGACUAGUAAAUGCGAUUAAACCUCACAACAUGACGCAAUAGCGCACAGUACCGCAAGGGAACAAUGAAUUACCACUAAUACACACGCAAAAAAAAGCAGGGAUCAUACCCCGUACCUUUUGCAUCACGGUCUAGCCAGAAACCCGCAGACAAAAGGCUAUUAAAGCCUGCCUCCCCGAAACCAAGUGAGCUACUCUUCAGGGCAGCCUAUCGAGCCAACCCAUCUCUGUAGCAAAAGAGUGGGACGACCCAAGAGUAGAGGCGAAAAACCAAACGAACUUGGUGAUAGCUGGUUGCCUGAUAAAUGAAUUUUAGUUCAACUUCAAGCACAACAUGCAAAGUACUAGCAUACCUCAAAACUUGAAAGAUAUUCAAUAGGGGUACAGCUCUAUUGAAACAGGCUACAACCCUUCAUGGAGAACCAAAAUCUUCCCGUACAUUAGUGGGCCUUAAACCAGCCACCAACAACAUAAAGCGUCAAAGCUAUCACACUAAAAAUACCGUCAAGAACUCCUCCUUCCCUUCUACUCACCAGGUAACCCUAUACUAUAGAGGAACUUAUGCUAAAAUCAGUAACAAGAAAAAUUCUCUCUCACACACCUGUACCUCAGCAAUAGAACCCCUACUGACAAUUAACAAACCCUACAAGGACUGAUAACCAUCACAACAAGACCAAAAUCUUACCACUUGUUAACCCAACACAGGAGUGUAGUACAGAAAGAUUAAAAGUUAAGAAAGGAAUUCAACAAAUUCUCAACCCCAACUGUUUACCAAAAACAUAGCCUUUAGCUUUAAAUAUUAAAGGUCCCGCCUGCCCAGUGACAAACUGUUAAACGGCCGCGGUAUACUAACCGUGCAAAGGUAGCGUAAUCACUUGUCCCCUAAAUAGAGACUAGUAUGAAUGGCUAAAUGAGGGUACAACUGUCUCUCUAAACCAAUCAGUGAAAUUGAUUUACCAGUACAAAAGCUGGUAUACCCCCAUAAGACGAGAAGACCCUGUGGAGCUUAAGAUGUCCACCAAACCCAACCCUACUAUGGUCCACCAUCUUCAGUUGGGGCGACUACGGAGACAAACAAAACCUCCCAGCCAGAGAACACUACUCUGCACAGACCCACAUGUCGACACAACGACCCAGUACAACUGAGUAACGAACCAAGUUACCCCAGGGAUAACAGCGCAAUCUUCUUCUAGAGUCCCCAUCGCCAAGAAGGUUUACGACCUCGAUGUUGGAUCAGGACACCCCAAUGGUGCAGCCACUAUUAAAGGUUCGUUUGUUCAACGAUUAACAGUCCUACGUGAUCUGAGUUCAGACCGGAGAAAUCCAGGUCGGUUUCUAUCUAUGAUAAAUUUUCUUCAGUACGAAAGGACCAAGAAAAUAGGAUCCAUCUUACAAAGACAUCCUACCCCACAUGGCGG
rnacentral:rRNA from 1 species